UACGGGGGGGCAAGCGUUGUUCGGAAUUACUGGGCGUAAAGGGCGCGUAGGCGGCCCGCUAAGUCGAACGUGAAAUCCCCGAGCUCAACUCGGGAACUGCGUCCGAUACUGGCGGGCUUGAAUCCGGGAGAGGGGAUGCGGAAUUCCAGGUGUAGCGGUGAAAUGACGUAGAUAUCUGGGGGAACACCGGUGGCGAAGGCGGCAUCCUGGACCGGCAUUGACGCUGAGGCGCGAAAGCUAGGGGAGCAAACGGG
rnacentral:rRNA from 1 species